UGCGCGCCCUGCGCCCGUGCCGCGCGUCCGGCGGAGCGGUGCGGCGCGACUAGCAGCGCCGAGCGGGAGGAAACGUUAUUACUGAAACAAAGAGCGGCCUCCCUUCAAACAAAGCAUCCGGCGCCGGCGGAGCUGUCCCCGGGCCCCAGCGGCUGCCCGGCCCGUGGGCUUCCCCCUCCGAGGACGCUGGCUCCCGUGGGAAAGUGGUGAGGGCUCCGACGCCGGAUCCGGCCGGUGCGGUGCUGCCCAGAAAGGCUUUUGGGGCGUUCGGUCUUGGCAACCAGCUUCUGCUGGAGGAAGCACAAGGAAGCGUGGCCUGGCAGGUGCCGGGGAGGUGGCGGGCGCCCUGCUGUUCUCCUCUCCCCGCAGAAGAGCAGUCCCCAGCUCCAGCCACCCCGGCGCGGAGCUGGUGAACAAAGUACAGCUCGGGCAACCACCAACAGAGAUGACCAGUGUACUGUUUUGCGCCACGUGUGGUUUGAGUGUGCUGGAAGCUGGGCUUUUCCCUUGCAGGCGAAGAGGGUCUGUGACUCAAACGUCUCUGCUCUCCCCCCUCUUCGUCUGGGGUGUUUUUGUUAACAAAAGGAUACAGCAGCGUAUAGAAUCGCUGGGCAUUUUCAUAUAACCUCUGCAGGAGAUCUAGUAAGAUACUGCAAACUGUAAAAUACCAGUGUGCUUUGUGGAGGCAGAGCAGCUGAAAAAAGGAGUGUCUGGGCCGCCCGUGUUUCGCAAAGCCCCUCCUUGCUAGCCUUGUGCACUAGGAACAGCAGAGAUUGACUGAACAAGAGCAAAUAGUCCAUACAACCCUCUUCUCCCAGAUACCGCUACCUUCCCACACCACCCGCGAGGACGGUGGUCUCUGGGAGCCACUCCUAUGACACCUGUCACCUGUGUCGAGGUUGCUGCUGGGAUCAAAUUCCAACACAGCAACCCCUAGGGACGUCUCCAGCAAAGGCGUUUUUCCUUGGCUUCUUCAUGCAAGCGUGCAGGGAGCUACACCCCUUCUGACAACUUGUCCUUUGCGAUACAGUAUGCCAGGGUAGCGCAAAUGCUUUUGCCUGACUCUAACACACUUCCCCAUUUCCUACUACCCAAGCUGAUCUGCAAAGUGAAUAGGUCUCUUAAGUGCAAAAUAGAUACAGGUAGAUUAGAAAGGCAGCUAACUGAAGAGCUAUCUCCUCUGAACAGACUGGUUUAAACCAAUUACAUGCUGUAGUGCAUGCUGCCACCUACGUGUUGUGAUUCCGGCUUCUUGUGCACUGCAGUUUCGCGUUUGUAGGCAUCCUCUGCUGAAGGCAGCUACAGCACUUUGUGAGACACAGCUGCCUGCUACCCCGGGGACCACAAACACAAGCGGCUGUGGCUGUACUAGGGAACAAGGCAAAACAUUGCACACCAGUGCAGCCACUUGUUUGGUUGCAGUGAGGAUGCCUCAGUGUGGAUUAGAAACCAGCGGUCACAUCAGUGAAACGUCACAGGGUUUAAAAAAGACACCGGGCCAAAUCCCAGGCUUGGCUACAACGUAUGUAAAUCUACUGAGAAGACAUUGAAGUCAAAUGAGGUUCUCUGUAUUUGCACCCUGUAAAGGAGGUCUCAAAGGGCAGGGAUACUAGUGCCUCAUUUUGCAGAUGGUGCACAUUAGCACAAACGUACAGCAGAGGUACGUCAGAUUUCUAUCAGGAGAGGUUGCUGGAUGGAGGGAUAUCAUGUCCUGGUUUGAAGUAUCCUCAGCAAAUUCUCAUUUGUUUGAAAUUGAAAUGUAUUUAAUAUUUCUUGCUUUUUUUCAUGGGAAGAACUUGUUUCUUUUCAAUAUUUGGCUGCCAAACGGAACAUGUUUACUGGACUCAGUACCAAGGCAGGGUAAGAAUAGGGGUAGGUCUUUCCAGAACCGAGAAGAUUUUACAUAUAACCAUUAAAAUAGAAAAGCAAUCUAGGAACAAGUGGACAGCACUACAUGUAAAGAAGGAUAUGUAGGCAAGGAUGGCAAAAGGAUCCUCUGAAUAAACUCAUCACAUGAAUGAUUAGCUGAAUGCAGAUUUUGCAUAUGACACUAUAUGGGAGCAGCCUUUGGGGUUCUCCCACAUGGUAAAGGACCCUGAACUCAAAAAAGGGUGCCAGAUUUUGUGAGGGAUUUGCACAUCAGACCAUGACUUUGGACUACAGAUUUUAAGUACUACUAAAUUGGGGAACAGAACUGUUGCUAUUGCUAUUACAGACCAGCAUAUUUCACUAAUCCAUGCAAUCCACUAAAUUGCUGUAGUUUUAGCCUGUGUUUAUUUUAGAUGAGAUGAUGUCCUGGACAGUUAAUUUUUUUUCUAGUUAUCCAAUCAAAUCCUAUAUAAAUAAAAAAACAAACAAAAAUCAAAACAUGACCUGUGCUUUUUGUACACUUUCCCCCAUCACAUGAACCUGCAGAUGAUGGAGUAGCACACCAGGUGAGCAAACAAAUAAACAAAAAAGGAAAGAAAGAAAGAAAGAAAAGCUACAGCUCUUCUUGAAAAUUGGUCCCACUGGCUUUAAACAAUGCUAAAAUGUAAUUUUAGUACUACUGGUGGCCUAUUCUGCUUAUAUUCAAAGCGGCCUAGCUGUUAUGGGAUUGCCUCCACUAGUCCUUUUCUUGCAUCAGGUAAAUGAUAUAUUAACUUGAGGUGCUUAUCAAGGCUGAAAGGCUGGAAUGGACCCUUUCUGAACACCGGGGCAAGUUUAGAAAUGUUGUUUUUUUUACAUAGGUUGAUUCCUAAAGUGAGGGGCAAACCUGGAACCAAACAGCUUGGAACCAUAGCGGUCACACUGGCCUUUGCAAGAAGUCAAGUAGCUUGAGUUAAAUGGCAGGCAGCUACCUGGAAACAAAAGACUCUUGUGUUUCCAAAGGUUUACACUGUGAUUUUCAAGAGCUCCUGAGCAAUUUAAAGCCCAUGAAAGGAAUCCACUAUAGAAUGAAAAAUACAGGUAUUAUUAAAGAAUAUCUCCAAACUGAAAGCUAUCCAGUUUCAUAAAAAUGAAUUAAAAAACAAUAACAGGUACUCUGUCUCCUGCUGGAUGCUGUAGGAACCAUAUGUUUUGUAUUUUUCAAGUCACUCUUAAAACAAUGUUCUUCUGUUCGCUGUUGCUAUUGUGAAAAAACAGUAAAAACAACUAUGCAUAAAAUGAGGCUAAAGUAAUCUAAUUAAAAAAAAAAACAAUGUGUUUUCAUCUUUAAUUCAUAUCCAGUCA